GAUGAACGCUAGCGGCGUGCCUAAUACAUGCAAGUCGAGCGAACGGACAAGAAGCUUGCUUCUCUGAUGUUAGCGGCGGACGGGUGAGUAACACGUGGAUAACCUACCUAUAAGACUGGGAUAACUUCGGGAAACCGGAGCUAAUACCGGAUGAUAUUUUGAACCGCAUGGUUCAAAAGUGAAAGACGGUCUUGCUGUCACUUAUAGAUGGAUCCGCGCUGCAUUAGCUAGUUGGUAAGGUAACGGCUUACCAAGGCAACGAUGCAUAGCCGACCUGAGAGGGUGAUCGGCCACACUGGAACUGAGACACGGUCCAGACUCCUACGGGAGGCAGCAGUAGGGAAUCUUCCGCAAUGGGCGAAAGCCUGACGGAGCAACGCCGCGUGAGUGAUGAAGGUCUUCGGAUCGUAAAACUCUGUUAUUAGGGAAGAACAUAUGUGUAAGUAACUGUGCACAUCUUGACGGUACCUAAUCAGAAAGCCACGGCUAACUACGUG
rnacentral:rRNA from 1 species